rnacentral:rRNA from 1 species
GACCUCGGAUCAUGUAGGGAUACCCGCUGAACUUAAGCAUAUCAAUAAGCGGAGGAAAAGAAACCAACAGGGAUUGCCCUAGUAACGGCGAGUGAAGCGGCAACAGCUCAAAUUUGAAAUCUGGCUCUUUCAGAGUCCGAGUUGUAAUUUGCAGAGGGCGCUUUGGCGUUGGCAGCGGUCCAAGUUCUUUGGAACAGGACGUCACAGAGGGUGAGAAUCCCGUACGUGGUCGCUAGCCUUCGCCGUGUAAAGCCCCUUCGACGAGUCGAGUUGUUUGGGAAUGCAGCUCUAAAUGGGAGGUAAAUUUCUUCUAAAGCUAAAUACUGGCCAGAGGCCGAUAGCGCACAAGUAGAGUGAUCGAAAGAUGAAAAGCACUUUGGAAAGAGAGUCAAAUAGCACGUGAAAUUGUUGAAAGGGAAGCGCUUGCAGCCAG